AGAUGAUUGGAACACCUGGAGUAUAAGUGGAGUAAAGAGUACAGAAGAAAUGCCUCUGGCGGAAAAUUUGAAGCAGUUUCUGUGCAAGACUGGAGCUCACACAUGAAGCCAACUCUGAGGAAGUACAAAGUGUUGUCCCCAAUCCUCGUAAUAUCCAGCUUCUUUGGCAGCUUGCUCUGCCCAAAAGAAGAUAGGAGACAGACAGACAGACAAACACACAGGCAUACACACAGAUGCGCAGAUGGACAGACAAUAAACUUUUCCUGGGGAUGUGAAGGUAAGCAAACCAACAAAGUAAAGAUUUAUUUAAAAUGGCCCCCAUAAAGAAAGUAGAAUUUAUGAUGUGAUACUAUUAUGUAAAAGUAUAAAAAUUACUGAAAAAGUGGCCCAUAAAUAUGAAAAGAACAAAAAUAAAAUUUGCUCCAUUCCCUCAAGCCUGGCCAAAGCCUAUUUUCACCUCUUUUGCUCAAUUUUCUCCCAGUUCUGAAUAUAAAAGCCCAGAAAAUCAGGGAGAGAAGCUCUUUGGAGCUUAUCAGGGGUGGGAAGAGAAACUGAGUGGGCAGAACAAGAAUUGUUUUGAGAGUGUAGGGAAUGAGUGGGAACACCUCCUGCCUUUUGUCUAUCACAUGAGUGGAAGCACUUAAGGACAGCACAGAAUCACACUUUAUGUGUAUCACAGCCUUAGAGAGAUUGUGGCAGGUGUUGUACUGUUUCUCAGUUGAACACUUUGAAGCAGAGUUCAUUUGUAUAUUCAUGUAUCCAUCCAAAUAGUUUUGAGUGCAAGGCACUGUCCCUGUAUGUUAUUGGUGGUCACCAAUUACAUGGCAGUUCUUUGGCUGGUUAAUAACACCUUUAUCUCUACUAUAAAGAUGAUGAUGAUGAUGUGUAGUGUGUGUUCAAUUCUGUAUUAGACAUUGUAAGUUUCAAAUAUAUAUACACAUAUAUACUUUGUGACUGGAGAGCCCUAAAUAAGAGGGAAUACAGGAGGAGAAACUUUAAGAAACAGAAGUUGGGUUCUGGGGAGUGGUACAUGGUUCUAACAUUUCAGUGAGAAACAACUAAAAGUACUGUAAGAAUUUUAUCAAGGAUCUAUGAAGUUUAAUACAUCCCUACAGCUAAACUCUCUGAAUCUCUACCAAAAGCUCAAUUUGUUGGACAGUCACUGUUUGUUGAGGACCCCUAUCUUACAUAUCUUUCAUUUCCUUCCUAAUCCUCUCCUAGCCUAAUGUGAGCAGAUGCUUACUUGCUGUAGAACUUCAGAGCUACAGGUGGCUUUAAACACCAACACAGACAAACCCCUGAAUUGUAGAUGAAAAUUCAGGAACCUGUCUGGACCUUCAGAAUAGUUUCCUGAUUGACUGUUCAGCCUCUAGCUCCCCAGGUGGUAUGUAGCCCCUAUAUCCCUUCUAGCUUGGCUCAUGUGUGUUCAUCUGUCAAGUUUCAGGUGGGUGGCCCUAAAUGAACUGACUCCCUCCUGAGGCCCAAUCAAAGUUAGGUCUCCCUUCUAAUUCUCCAUCAAAGCACUCCUUGCAUAGCAUUUGCCACCACUUAAAAUUAAACUUUAAUUUUUGUGACUAUUUUAUAACAUCUAUCUUCUAACCAAGCUGUGAGUGCCAUGAAAGCGAGAAUUAGUCUGUUAAUUCAUCACCACAUCGCCAGUGCCUAGCAUAGCCCCAGCACAAAAGAGCUUGGUGAAUAUUUGUUGAGUAAAUAAGUGGUUGGAAGGCACACACCCGAGCUGUCUUUGUACAACACAAAUCUGUUUGUCUUUCUCCUGCCUAAAUUCCUUCUUUAGUUACUCACUUUUUAACAGUAAAGAAAAACAUGUUUUAGCCUGAUUAAAAAGAGCUACCACAAUUUGGCUUUUUGUCUAAGCUCCUCAGGUCCCUUCAGACCUCCAAGCCUUUGCAUAUGCUGUACCCUCAGAGAAAUGCCCUGCCUGCUGUUUCUGCCCAAGUGGGUAAGCACCUUCCCUUCCAUCACCUUCUUGGUGAAGCCCAGACUCUCCAAGAAAGGGCUAGUUGGUUGGUUCUUAAUGUUUCCACAGUGCUUUGUCAGUAUUUCUGUGAGAGUAGAAGGGUGGCAUACUUUCUUUCCCAAACUUGUCCCUGAAUUCCUUCCACUUCCCCCCAAGGCUGUUGUGAAUAAAGGAGUGGCCGAGGGUGACACGCAGCCAAUGGUUGGUCCACCAGCUGCCUCUGGCAGCUCCUUGUUGCUGUCUCUCCUCCCAGAUCUGUCUCCUUUUAUUUUCCUGGUCUUUCUUGUGAUUUCCCUCUUUGUCUUUUGCAGGGUCCUCAUUCCCAAAUUUCUCUCCUAUUAUGUUAAGUGCACUGAUAUUGCUGUUUUUGUUUCUCCUUUGAGAAAUAUGAUGCCUGGGAAGAGGCAGCAGCUCACAUUGCACACCUAAAUAGUUCCAGCAAGGCAUUUUCCUGAAUACAAAGCUUUUUCUCCUGAGGUGGAUUCUGCUUUCCCCUAGCCUGCAAAAAGAAGGCAGUCAAGUUUCUGGCUUUAAAUGGUAACUUUUCUUUCCUCUUUUAGAUGCUUUAGAACCUAAGCAGAAACAAGUGUCUUUUAUAAAGCCACUUCACUUUGACAUCUCAGAUUCUCAGCAGGCUUGGCAACAGUGGCUUGCCCAUUCAUCUCUGGGACCACUUUUGAAGCCAACUCUGUGAAGAGCUGUAUGAACUCUAUGAGGCUCUGUAAAGAAAGGCAUCAUUAGGAAGGAGAUGUUCUUAGCAAUGGCUCUGCAAAGUUUAAACUCCAGUUUCCUCAUUCUGUAUUCAGAACAAUUGCUCUUAAAGUAUUCGCUAAGGACAAGCAUUUUCUUACUCCCAUACUCAACAACAUGGGAAAACAUGGGAAAAAACCAAGCCCUCCUAAUGAAGACCAAGCAGCUGGACCUGCAUUGCUCUAGUGUUACCUCUGUUUGGGGUUUCCUCUAUUGCUGGGAGGCCAGACACUUAGUUGAUUAACUUUGUACUUAAUGAAUAGGGUUGUCAUUUUUCCAGCUGUUUCUAGGAGAAACUGAAACAGGAUUGGAGAUUUUGAAAAUUUGUCACCUCCCCCCACCACCAAAAAAAUCCCAAUAAACUUGUCUGUGGCCUCUUUUUAUCAUUUCCAUCCUUUCUUUUGUGAAGUCCAAGGGAUAUGAAGCAGAUGGAAAAGAGGAUAGGCACAGAGAACGUGUGCACAGAUAUAAUAUGGGUAAAUUCUACUAACCAAACAAGCAAAAACCAAGCUUUAAUUAAUUCAGUUACAUUUAGAUCUAGUGCUUUUUUACUGAAACAGAGCCACUGAGAAAAUAUGACAUGAUAACACUUAGUAAAACCUCUGAACACAUGAAAGUCCUUAAAACAGGAUUAGCAAUGGAUAAUACUACCUUACAUUUAUAUAACACUUGGCAUAUUUCAAAAAUGUUUCAUGACCAGUGAAAGACUGAAUGUCACAUUAUUUGGGAAAAGAAAAAAGGGAGGAUGUUUCUAUUACAAUUUAUGGAUAAAGAAGUAGUUUUGGGGUCCAAGGUCAUAUGAUAACUUAAAUAAGAAGACCCUCUCUGUGGCAAUUAGCAUUAUUUUAAAAAUUGUCAACAGAUACUAGAGAGCUUUUUUUUGAAUUAAUCUAUCUUACAUUCUAUCCCGAUAAAUAAGGAAAAACAAAUCAUUUGAAGAAGAGAAAAAAAAUUUCUGUUUCCCUUGAAAUGCAUUAAGUGUAACUGUAGUCAUGAGAAUCUGAAGAUGCAAAAUCUGAAAUUAGCCAAUAUUAGAAACUCUGAGUACAAACUUAAAUUGAUAAGACUUAAACAGUGAAAUACACUUUUUGUGUACUUUUAGAUUAGUAUGCCAAUUUUGAUCUGCAUCAAAUGAUCGACAUUUAUGUUGCAUUUACACAUACAUUUACAAACACUAUUCUAUUUAAUCUCAUUUUUUUUUUGUAACUGACAAAUUUGCUUUUAUGGAAAGAGACUUCUGGAAGACAAAAAAAAAAAAAAA